rnacentral:rRNA from 1 species
CCUACGGUCGGCAGCAGUGAGGAAUAUUGGUCAAUGGGCGCUAGCCUGAACCAGCCAAGUAGCGUGAAGGAUGACUGCCCUAUGGGUUGUCAACUUCUUUUAUAUGGGAAUAAAGUCCAGUAUGUAUACUUCUUUGCAUUUACCUUAUGAAUAAGGAUCGGCUAACUCCGUGCCAGCAGCCGCGGUAAUACGGAGGAUCCGAGCGUUAUCCUGCUUUAUUUGGUUUAAAGGGAGCGUAGACGGGUUGUUAAGUCAGGUGUGAAAGUUUGCGGCUAAACCGUAAAAUUGCAAUUGAUACUGGCAUCCUUGAGUACAGUAGAGGUAGGCGGAAUUCGUGGUGUAGCGGUGAAAUGCUUAGAUAUCACGAAGAACUCCGAUUGCGAAGGCAGCCUGCUAGACUGUAACUGACGCUGAUGCUCGAAAGUGUGGGUAUCAAACAGGAUUAGAUACCCUGGUAGUC